UACGUAGGGUCCGAGCGUUGUCCGGAAUUAUUGGGCGUAAAGAGCUCGUAGGCGGUCUGUCGCGUCGGCUGUGAAAACUCGGGGCUCAACCCCGAGCCUGCAGUCGAUACGGGCAGACUAGAGUUCGGUAGGGGAGACUGGAAUUCCUGGUGUAGCGGUGAAGUGCGCAGAUAUCAGGAGGAACACCGAUGGCGAAGGCAGUGUUCUGGGCCAGUACUGACGCUGAGGAGCGAAAGCGUGGGGAGCAAACAGG
rnacentral:rRNA from 1 species